UACGUAGGGGGCAAGCGUUAUCCGGAUUUACUGGGUGUAAAGGGAGCGUAGACGGCUGUGCAAGUCAGAAGUGAAAGCCCGGGGCUCAACCGCGGGACUGCCUUUGAAACUGUGUAGCUAGAGUGCAGGAGAGGUAAGUGGAAUUCCUAGUGUAGCGGUGAAAUGCGUAGAUAUUAGGAGGAACACCGGUGGCGAAGGCGGCUUGCUGGACUGUAACUGACGUUGAGGCUCGUAAGCGUGGGGAGCAAACAGG
rnacentral:rRNA from 1 species